CUCUAUGUCUGGAAUAACACUUCGAAAGAGGUGCUAAUACCGGAUGAUAUCAUGGGAUCUUCGGCUCCCGUGAUCAAAGGUGACCUCUACCUGUAAGUUACCGCAUAGAGAAAGGCUUGCGUACCAUUAGCUUGUUGGUGAGGUAACGGCUCACCAAGGCUAUGAUGGUUAGCUGGUCUGAGAGGAUGACCAGUCACACUGGAACUGAGACACGGUCCAGACUCCUACGGGAGGCAGCAGUGAGGAAUUUUGCGCAAUGGGGGAAACCCUGACGCAGCAACGCCGCGUGAGUGAAGAAGGCCUUUGGGUCGUAAAGCUCUGUCAAGUGGGAAGAAAUUGUCUAUUAUUAAUACUGGUAGGCAUUGACGGUACCACUAAAGGAAGCACCGGCUAACUCCGUGCCAGCAGCCGCGGUAAUACGGGGGGUGCUAGCGUUAAUCGGAUUUAUUGGGCGUAAAGGGCGCGUAGGCGGCUAGAUAAGUCAGAUGUGAAAGCCCGGGGCUCAACCCCGGAAGUACAUUUGAAACUAUUUGGCUUGAGUAUGGGAGAGGGAAGUGGAAUUCCUGGUGUAGCGGUGAAAUGCGUAGAUAUCAGGAGGAACACCGGUGGCGAAGGCGACUUCCUGGACCAAUACUGACGCUGAGGCGCGAAGGCGUGGGUAGCAAACAGGAUUAGAUACCCUGGUAGUCCACGCAGUAAACGUUGAUCACUAGGUGUAGCGGGCUUUUACCCCUGCUGUGCCGAAGCUAACGCAUUAAGUGAUCCGCCUGGGGAGUACGAUCGCAAGGUUAAAACUCAAAGGAAUUGACGGGGGCCCGCACAAGCGGUGGAGCAUGUGGUUUAAUUCGACGCAACGCGAAGAACCUUACCUGGAUUUGACAUCUCGGGAAUCUCUAUGAAAGUAGAGAGUGCCCUUCGGGGAACUCGAUGACAGGUGCUGCAUGGCUGUCGUCAGCUCGUGUCGUGAGAUGUUGGGUUAAGUCCCGCAACGAGCGCAACCCCUAUCUUUAGUUGCCAGCAUUCAGUUGGGGACUCUAGAGAGACUGCCCCGGUUAACGGGGAGGAAGGUGGGGAUGACGUCAAGUCCUCAUGGCCCUUAUGUCCAGGGCUACACACGUGCUACAAUGGGCUGUACAAAGGGCAGCUAACUCGCGAGAGUAGCCAAUCCCAAAAAGCAGUCCUCAGUUCGGAUUGGAGUCUGCAACUCGACUCCAUGAAGUUGGAAUCGCUAGUAAUCGUGGAUCAGCAUGCCACGGUGAAUACGUUCCCGGGCCUUGUACACACCGCCCGUCACACCAUGAGAGUUGGUUGUACCCAAAGUUGCCGGGCCAACCCAUUCGGGAGGCAGGUACCUAAGGUAUGGCUGAUGAUUGGGGUGAAGUCGUAACAAGGUA
rnacentral:rRNA from 1 species